rnacentral:rRNA from 1 species
AGAGUUUGAUCCUGGCUCAGGACGAACGCUGGCGGCGUGCUUAACACAUGCAAGUCGAGCGGAAAGGCCCUUCGGGGUACUCGAGCGGCGAACGGGUGAGUAACACGUGAGUAACCUGCCUCUGGCUUUGGGAUAACCCUCGGAAACGGGGGCUAAUACCGGGUAUUCACUUUGGGCGGCAUCGUCUGGGGUGGAAAGUUUUUCGGCCAGGGAUGGGCUCGCGGCCUAUCAGCUUGUUGGUGGGGUAACGGCCUACCAAGGCGGCGACGGGUAGCCGGCCUGAGAGGGCGACCGGCCACACUGGGACUGAGACACGGCCCAGACUCCUACGGGAGGCAGCAGUGGGGAAUAUUGCACAAUGGGCGGAAGCCUGAUGCAGCGACGCCGCGUGAGGGAUGACGGCCUUCGGGUUGUAAACCUCUUUCGACCCUGACGAAGCGCAAGUGACGGUAGGGGGAGAAGAAGCACCGGCCAACUACGUGCCAGCAGCCGCGGUAAGACGUAGGGUGCGAGCGUUGUCCGGAUUUAUUGGGCGUAAAGAGCUCGUAGGCGGCUCGUCGCGUCGACCGUGAAAACCCGCAGCUUAACUGUGGGCUUGCGGUUGAUACGGGCGGGCUAGAGUUCGGUAGGGGAGACUGGAAUUCCUGGUGUAGCGGUGAAAUGCGCAGAUAUCAGGAGGAACACCGGUGGCGAAGGCGGGUCUCUGGGCCGAUACUGACGCUGAGGAGCGAAAGCGUGGGGAGCGAACAGGAUUAGAUACCCUAGUAGUCC